UCUCCUAUUUUUAUACAUGUACAUUGUUGAAUUGUUGAGUAAGAUACAAAUGUUGGUAAUGGAUGAUGUAAUGACACAGGUACAAGAAUGUCUUCCUUUCUUAUUUGCAUUUUUUGGGAAAAGCAUAUCUAAACUAUUUUUUGAUGGACUAGAUAAUCCAUCCGUUCUACCACUCAUGUCCCAUCUUGAAUGGACUAAGUAAUGGAUGUGAGGCUUGGUAAUAAAAUUCAACUUUUUAAUUUUCUUCUUGUGAUUAGUAUCAUUCUUUGGGAAAAAACUUCUUUAAACUAUUUUUCCAUUGCAAGGGCCAUGGUGAAACUAGCACCAGGACUGCAAUACACUAGCAAGCUGAUGUAGGUGUAGAAGAUAGUUGAGCGAGGUUGGAUGACACAAGCUGAAUAUGACGAACCAAGUAGGAAAGCCUUGAGCUUUCAGUAUGGGUAGGUGGGUUGAUCCUCUUGAGGCUUGAUCAUGGUGGCCCACUCCAGUUUUUAGCAGCUGCGGCAAUUCUUAGUAAAUUAUACAAAGACUAUCUUGAUAUUAUUAGGAGUUAUGAAGGGAGUUGUGGUUCUUUGUCAUUUUCCAUGAAGUGUCGUUUGUUGAUAAUGUGGGUUUAAAGCUCAUCAUGUUGUGUGCAUGAUAUCUAAUAUGUCCAUCACAUUCUCCACCACAUUUUCUUAUAUCCCAAAACCGAGGCCCAUUCAAGACUUAGAAUUCAACUACAUUAAUCAUUUUGGUAGUUUAGUCCAAACUGUCCAAAAUUUAUUUCUUGAUCUAACUUUGCUUUACACUUUAGUUUGAAUUUAAUUGUUAUCUUAACUAAGAAAAGUGCGAACUAGCUUAUAUUUUGAUAGAUUUAUCUUAUAUGAUUUGUGAUAUUUAGGAUAUUUAUGGUUAAUAAAGAUUUGAUUUUUGUAUCUUA